UACAGAGGUCUCGAGCGUUGUUCGGAUUCAUUGGGCGUAAAGGGUGCGUAGGCGGCGGGGUAAGUCUGAUGUGAAAUCCCGGGGCUCAACCCCCGGAAUGGCAUUGGAUACUGCCUUGCUAGAGAACUGGAGAGGAGACUGGAAUUUACGGUGUAGCAGUGAAAUGCGUAGAGAUCGUAAGGAAGACCAGUGGCGAAGGCGAGUCUCUGGACAGUUCCUGACGCUGAGGCACGAAGGCCAGGGGAGCAAACGGG
rnacentral:rRNA from 1 species